GACGAACGCUGGCGGCGUGCUUAACACAUGCAAGUCGAACGGAAAGGCCCUGCUUUUGUGGGGUGCUCGAGUGGCGAACGGGUGAGUAACACGUGAGUAACCUGCCCUUGACUUUGGGAUAACUUCAGGAAACUGGGGCUAAUACCGGAUAGGAGCUCCUGCUGCAUGGUGGGGGUUGGAAAGUUUCGGCGGUUGGGGAUGGACUCGCGGCUUAUCAGCUUGUUGGUGGGGUAGUGGCUUACCAAGGCUUUGACGGGUAGCCGGCCUGAGAGGGUGACCGGCCACAUUGGGACUGAGAUACGGCCCAGACUCCUACGGGAGGCAGCAGUGGGGAAUAUUGCACAAUGGGCGGAAGCCUGAUGCAGCAACGCCGCGUGCGGGAUGACGGCCUUCGGGUUGUAAACCGCUUUCGCCUGUGACGAAGCGUGAGUGACGGUAAUGGGUAAAGAAGCACCGGCUAACUACGUGCCAGCAGCCGCGGUGAUACGUAGGGUGCGAGCGUUGUCCGGAUUUAUUGGGCGUAAAGGGCUCGUAGGUGGUUGAUCGCGUCGGAAGUGUAAUCUUGGGGCUUAACCCUGAGCGUGCUUUCGAUACGGGUUGACUUGAGGAAGGUAGGGGAGAAUGGAAUUCCUGGUGGAGCGGUGGAAUGCGCAGAUAUCAGGAGGAACACCAGUGGCGAAGGCGGUUCUCUGGGCCUUUCCUGACGCUGAGGAGCGAAAGCGUGGGGAGCGAACAGGCUUAGAUACCCUGGUAGUCCACGCUGUAAACGGUGGGUACUAGGUGUGAGGUCCAUUCCACGGGUUCCGUGCCGUAGCUAACGCUUUAAGUACCCCGCCUGGGGAGUACGGCCGCAAGGCUAAAACUCAAAGGAAUUGACGGGGCCCCGCACAAGCGGCGGAGCAUGCGGAUUAAUUCGAUGCAACGCGUAGAACCUUACCUGGGUUUGACAUGGAUCGGGAGUGCUCAGAGAUGGGUGUGCCUCUUUUGGGGUCGGUUCACAGGUGGUGCAUGGCUGUCGUCAGCUCGUGUCGUGAGAUGUUGGGUUAAGUCCCGCAACGAGCGCAACCCUUGUUCACUGUUGCCAGCACGUUAUGGUGGGGACUCAGUGGAGACCGCCGGGGUCAACUCGGAGGAAGGUGGGGAUGACGUCAAGUCAUCAUGCCCCUUAUGUCCAGGGCUUCACGCAUGCUACAAUGGCUGGUACAGAGAGUGGCGAGCCUGUGAGGGUGAGCGAAUCUCGGAAAGCCGGUCUCAGUUCGGAUUGGGGUCUGCAACUCGACCUCAUGAAGUCGGAGUCGCUAGUAAUCGCAGAUCAGCAACGCUGCGGUGAAUACGUUCCCGGGGCU
rnacentral:rRNA from 1 species